GACGAACGCUGGCGGCGUGCCUAAUACAUGCAAGUAGAACGCACAGUUUAUACCGUAGCUUGCUACACCAUAGACUGUGAGUUGCGAACGGGUGAGUAACGCGUAGGUAACCUGCCUGGUAGCGGGGGAUAACUAUUGGAAACGAUAGCUAAUACCGCAUAAUAUUGAUUAUUGCAUGAUAAUUGAUUGAAAGAUGCUAUUGCAUCACUACCAGAUGGACCUGCGUUGUAUUAGCUAGUAGGUGAGGUAACGGCUCACCUAUGCGACGAUACAUAGCCGACCUGCGAGGGUGCUCGGCCCCACUGAGACUGAGACACGGCCCAGACUCCUACGGGAGGCAGCAGUAGGGAAUCUUCGGCAAUGGACGAAAGUCUGACCGAGCAACGCCGCGUGAGUGCAGAAGGUUUUCGGAUCGUAAAGCUCUGUUGUAAGAGAAGAACGGGUGUGAGAGUGGAAAGUUCACACUGUGACGGUAUCUUACCAGAAAGGGACGGCUAACUACGUG
rnacentral:rRNA from 1 species